CCUACGGGAGGCAGCAGUGAGGAAUAUUGGUCAAUGGGCGAGAGCCUGAACCAGCCAAGUCGCGUGAGGGAAGACGGUCCUAUGGAUUGUAAACCUCUUUUGCCGGGGAGCAAAAAGCGGUACGUGUACCGCAUCGAGAGUACCCGGAGAAAAAGCAUCGGCUAACUCCGUGCCAGCAGCCGCGGUAAUACGGAGGAUGCGAGCGUUAUCCGGAUUUAUUGGGUUUAAAGGGUGCGCAGGCGGCGAGUUAAGUCAGCGGUAAAAUUUCGGGGCUCAACCCCGACAAGCCGUUGAAACUGGGGUGCUAGAGUGGGCGAGAAGUAUGCGGAAUGCGUGGUGUAGCGGUGAAAUGCAUAGAUAUCACGCAGAACUCCGAUUGCGAAGGCAGCAUACCGGCGCCCAACUGACGCUCAGGCACGAAAGCGUGGGUAUCGAACAGGAUUAGAUACCCGGGUAGUC
rnacentral:rRNA from 1 species